rnacentral:lncRNA from 1 species
AGUUUGGUGCUGAGUGCUCUGGACGCCCCAGCAGGGCCGGAGAAAAUCUGCAGAGGCAGCAGCAACUGAGCAAGAGGCCUGACCUUCACACCUAUGUAACCCAAGGUCACAGAAAUGCUGAGGGGCCAUGUGACUCCAGUGAAGCAGGAGUAUCCAUCCAGCCACAGAGAUGGGACCUGUCCAAAUGGGACCUGUCUGUUCCAAAGGUUAUUCUGCUUGUUCUGGAGACUGGGAAUUCCAAGAGCAUGAUACCAGCAUCUGGCGAGCGUUAUCCCCUGGUAGGAAGUAUCACAUGGUGAGUGAAUGUAUAAGACAGAGAGAAAAGUGAACCGAAC